ACAACAAUGUUGGAGAAGAAUCCGACUUCAAAAGCCCGCGCCGGUUACCGUGUAGAAAGAUGAGAUCUAGAACGGAGCUCCGACACGAUGGCGACAUCGCCGCUGCCACUGCCUCUCGUCGCUCAUCAUCACCAUCUACGAACCUGUCACAUGCCGCGCUCGUCGGCCAGAUCCACGUCCCCGUCAACGCCGUGUUCAUCUCCGGCAUGGAGCGCCGUCACAGAUCUUGAUGUUAGAGUAAGUCGUAGAUCUAAUUCGGUCGGGGUUCUUGUCAAAUUGUAUUUUUCCUUCUGAGAUCAUCAAAUUGCUCUAUGGUACUAUUGAAUGGGAAGCAUUGCUUCUUAUUGUGAUAGAAGCAUUUGUGACUUGAUUUUGUGACAGGGAUUCAGCUUUACUACAUGCACUAUUGGGACCGCAAUGACCAUAAAAAUCACAGUUAUGAAUGUUGCCACAGCAGCUGUUGAAGUUGCCCUGGAGCACUCAUCCACAUCCUGAAUUUUACUGAGCUGUCCGAGACACUUGUGACAACAUAAACCUCAUCAUCAUCAAAGUCGUAAGAAAGGAAUAACGCCAAUCCACCUAUAUCUGGAUACUCUGUUCUUGUAUCCUUGCCGACGAACACAGAACUUCUACAAUACGGAAGAGUUCCGUUCCAGAUAAAGCCCUGAAGUGGUAAUUAAGGAUCAAUGCCGAAGCUCUGCCACAAG
rnacentral:lncRNA from 1 species